ensembl:snoRNA SNORD51 small nucleolar RNA, C/D box 51
CUGGCUACAUGAUGAAUAAAAUCAAAUCACCAUCUUUCGGCUGAGCUCUUGAUGGAUUUGCUUUUUUCUGACAAAGCCAG